GCGCGGUCCCGCCCCCCACGCGGCGCGCAGGCGCGGCCCCUGUUAGCCAGCCAACGCCGCAGUCCUGGGCGCCAGAGCCGCUGCAGCAUCUUUGGUGUCAGCUUCUCCUCUCUGGUCUUCUCUUCCACCUCCUCUUCGGCCGGCGCGAUGGCGAAGCCACUGACCGACAGCGAGAGGCGGAAGCAGAUCAGUGUGCGCGGCCUGGCGGGGUUGGGCGACGUGGCGGAGGUGCGGAAGAGCUUCAACCGGCAUCUGCACUUCACUCUGGUCAAGGACCGCAACGUGGCCACGCCUCGCGACUACUUCUUCGCGCUAGCCCACACCGUGCGCGACCACCUGGUCGGCCGCUGGAUCCGUACCCAGCAGCACUAUUACGAGCGUGACCCCAAGGUGAGGCGGCUCGCCCUCUCGUCUCCGAGGCCGAGA
rnacentral:lncRNA from 1 species